GAUGCUGACGAGCGGCGGACGGGUGAGUAAUGCAUAGGAAUCUGCCCGAUAGUGGGGGAUAACCUGGGGAAACCCAGGCUAAUACCGCAUACGUCCUACGGGAGAAAGGGGGCUCCGGCUCCCGCUAUGGGAUGAGCCUAUGUCGGAUUAGCUAGUUGGUGAGGUAACGGCUCACCAAGGCCACGAUCCGUAGCUGGUCUGAGAGGAUGAUCAGCCACAUCGGGACUGAGACACGGCCCGAACUCCUACGGGAGGCAGCAGUGGGGAAUAUUGGACAAUGGGGGAAACCCUGAUCCAGCCAUGCCGCGUGUGUGAAGAAGGCCCUCGGGUUGUAAAGCACUUUCAGCGAGGAAGAACGCCUAGCGGUUAAUACCCGCUAGGAAAGACAUCACUCGCAGAAGAAGCACCGGCUAACUCCGUGCCAGCAGCCGCGGUAAUACGGAGGGUGCAAGCGUUAAUCGGAAUUACUGGGCGUAAAGCGCGCGUAGGUGGCUUGAUAAGCCGGUUGUGAAAGCCCCGGGCUCAACCUGGGAACGGCAUCCGGAACUGUCAAGCUAGAGUGCAGGAGAGGAAGGUAGAAUUCCCGGUGUAGCGGUGAA
rnacentral:rRNA from 1 species